rnacentral:rRNA from 1 species
UACGGAGGGUCCGAGCGUUAAUCGGAAUUACUGGGCGUAAAGCGUACGCAGGCGGUUUGUUAAGCGAGAUGUGAAAGCCCCGGGCUCAACCUGGGAACUGCAUUUCGAACUGACAAACUAGAGUUUUGUAGAGGGUGGUAGAAUUUCAGGUGUAGCGGUGAAAUGCGUAGAGAUCUGAAGGAAUACCAGUGGCGAAGGCGGCCACCUGGACAAUAACUGACGCUCAUGUACGAAAGCGUGGGGAGCAAACGGG